CGAGGGGCAUCAGGAAGAAAGNUUGCUUUCUUUGCUGGCGACCGGCGCACGGGUGAGUAACACGUAUCCAACCUGCCCUUUACUCGGGGAUAGCCUUUCGAAAGAAAGAUUAAUACCCGAUGGCAUAAUGAUUCCGCAUGGUUUCAUUAUUAAAGGAUUCCGGUAAAGGAUGGGGAUGCGUUCCAUUAGGUUGUUGGUGAGGUAACGGCUCACCAAGCCUUCGAUGGAUAGGGGUUCUGAGAGGAAGGUCCCCCACAUUGGAACUGAGACACGGUCCAAACUCCUACGGGAGGCAGCAGUGAGGAAUAUUGGUCAAUGGGCGCUAGCCUGAACCAGCCAAGUAGCGUGAAGGAUGAAGGCUCUAUGGGUCGUAAACUUCUUUUAUAUAAGAAUAAAGUGCAGUAUGUAUACUGUUUUGUAUGUAUUAUAUGAAUAAGGAUCGGCUAACUCCGUGCCAGCAGCCGCGGUAAUACGGAGGAUCCGAGCGUUAUCCGGAUUUAUUGGGUUUAAAGGGAGCGUAGGUGGACUGGUAAGUCAGUUGUGAAAGUUUGCGGCUCAACCGUAAAAUUGCAGUUGAUACUGUCAGUCUUGAGUACAGUAGAGGUGGGCGGAAUUCGUGGUGUAGCGGUGAAAUGCUUAGAUAUCACGAAGAACUCCGAUUGCGAAGGCAGCUCACUGGACUGCAACUGACACUGAUGCUCGAAAGUGUGGGUAUCAAACAGGAUUAGAUACCCUGGUAGUCCACACAGUAAACGAUGAAUACUCGCUGUUUGCGAUAUACAGUAAGCGGCCAAGCGAAAGCAUUAAGUAUUCCACCUGGGGAGUACGCCGGCAACGGUGAAACUCAAAGGAAUUGACGGGGGCCCGCACAAGCGGAGGAACAUGUGGUUUAAUUCGAUGAUACGCGAGGAACCUUACCCGGGCUUAAAUUGCAGUGGUAUGAUGUGGGAACAUGUCAGUGAGCAAUCACCGCUGUGAAGGUGCUGCAUGGUUGUCGUCAGCUCGUGCCGUGAGGUGUCGGCUUAAGUGCCAUAACGAGCGCAACCCUUAUCUUUAGUUACUAACAGGUUAUGCUGAGGACUCUAGAGAGACUGCCGUCGUAAGAUGUGAGGAAGGUGGGGAUGACGUCAAAUCAGCACGGCCCUUACGUCCGGGGCUACACACGUGUUACAAUGGGGGGUACAGAAGGCAGCUAGCGGGUGACCGUAUGCUAAUCCCAAAAGCCUCUCUCAGUUCGGAUCGAAGUCUGCAACCCGACUUCGUGAAGCUGGAUUCGCUAGUAAUCGCGCAUCAGCCACGGCGCGGUGAAUACGUUCCCGGGCCUUGUACACACCGCCCGUCAAGCCAUGGGAGCCGGGGGUACCUGAAGUACGUAACCGCAA
rnacentral:rRNA from 2 species